AUGGGGAGCGUGGGGAGCGUGAGGAUGGAGCAGAGGAAUCCAAUGGCGGCGAGGCCGAACCCCUGCGCGGCCUUCCGCUCGGUCCCGCCGCCGCUGCCCGCGCGCCGCGCCGACGCCGCGCCGAGGCCCAAGGAUGCACCUUGUCCUACCUCUAAUGGCGAUAGAGGUCUUUCUGGGCAGUCCAAAAAGCCUCCAGAGCAUGGCAUGCAUAAGCCGUCUGGCGGUACAUAUACAAAACCUGAUGCAAGAGUGAAGUUGAUUCCGGCAGAAGACAUCACUUAUGUACGGCAUGGAAAGCCUUUUGGUAGAACAGUUGGCUCAGCAAAACUGCAGAAAAGACACUGCAGACGAAGUGUCACUCCUCCUCCGAGUUCGCGUAAAAUUUCUCUUGCGAGAUCGACACCGCUUACUCACAAGUCUAUGACACCGUUUACUCCCAAGGCCAUGCCACCGCUUAAUCACAAGGCUUCGACGCCUCUUACCCACAAGGCCACAGCACCUCUUACUCACAAGGCCGCGACACCUCUUACUCACAAGCCCACGACACCACCCCAUCCUGUUGCGUCGUGUCUUUCUCCUAAGAGAGUUGAGACAGCUCACAAGGCCUCGGGACCUCUUAGUCCAAAGCCCACUACACCACCCCUGCCUGUUGCAUCGUGUCUUUCUCCUAAGAGAAUUGAGACAGCUCACAAGGCCUCGGGACCUCUUAGUCCCAAGCCCACAACACCACCCCUGCCUGUUGCAUCGUGUCUUUCUCCUGAGAGAGUUGAGACAGUUGAAAACAGGCAAUUUUUCUCUCUCAAUCGGCCAUCACCACUCUACAAGGCUGUCCAGGGAGGUGCAUUUCCUCCAUCUGUUUCGCAGAAAGAGUCAGAGAUGAAUCCCAUCAACCCUGGUUCUGUGCAUGUUCCUCCUGCAUAUUCAAGGAAGGUUCCUCUUAAUACAAAGGCAGAACCUCCUAAGAGUGUCAUCACACUUGACAACAAAAAGUUAUGCUCUACAAGCAAUCAAUCUGCACUUAAAUGUCAGCCCACAAAAAGAGACGCAGAUCCUAUUGUGGAAAAAGAAACUACUGUGAAGCUUCCAUUACUGAGCCCAACAUCUGUGCUUAGUUCAAGUUCCACCGAGGUAUGUCCAGAUACUGGAAGGUCUUCGUCCAGACUAAAUUUGUUUGAUGGAAAAUCCAAGCUGGACUCACUGCAGCCUGAAACAAACAUACCUCAAGCAAAAAGCCCAGAGUCUACAACUCCAACCCCAUGUGCUCAACUUUCCAAUGAUUUGAGAGUUGUUUCUUCCACUAAGAGCCAUGUCGAGAAACAAACGAACCAGGAACCAUCAAUUAGUCGUAACAUGUCUUCAGGUGCCCAAUUAAUUCUACAUACACCACUGUGCAAGGAGACAUACCAACCAGAGGCCUGCUGGAAGGGCAAAUUUGAAAUAACUGGAGAGCUAACACACACUUGUGAUGGACUUGAAGCCUAUUUCCCUUGUGAAAUUUCUAGCAAAGUUUAUGAAGCUUCAAAACAGAUGCCUGAAAUCUUGAAGCUAGAGGCUCUACCUCUUUCUGGCCUGUUACCAAAAAAAUUCAAGAUGGAACCACCUCUUGCUCAAGAUAUUGGACUGUGCUUCAUAAGUUCUUGUCAAAGGCCAAAUAGGGACUCUUACCAUCUCCUGGAAAAUGUUUCUUCACAUAUUGGCUUGCGGACUGACAUCGGCACCGUGGAGUUGCUUAUAUUUUCGUCCAAGCUGCUUACGGAAGAUGAUCAAACGAAAGACGGAGAACUUUACCUUUUUGGAGUUUUCCAGAAGCGUACCAGAAAGAGGCAGCACCGAGUCGACAGUCAUACAGAUAUCAGCAAUGUUGGCCUUUCAAAGGGAGACUGUAAUAUAUCUGAGGAUAUUGGCUUGGACCUGGAUAUGAUAGGAGGCAAAUACACAAAAGGGACUACAGAUUCUCUAUGUAAAUCUGCUAGGAGAGCUCCUGCUUGCGGAGACCUUGUUUUGGACCCACCUUCAGGAUUUCCUCUUGAUGUCCCUCCUGGCUUCACAAGAGCUCGUUGUGGGCUUCGUAGAGGAAAAACUGCAGAAUCACAUAUCAACUCUUCUCCCAGCCUUGCUUUCGACACUCCAGGACCGAGACUUGAUGCUCCUCCAGGAUUUACAAAAGCACAUGGUGGAUCAGAAAACGGUGCUUCCACUCUUUUCUCUGAGAGAAAGUCCCCAAUCAAGUUCUCUCUCAACAUUACAAGGCCUCCUGGAUUUGCUAAAUUGGCUGAGGUGAAAAAAGAGCCUGGGUUACCAGCAUUCUUUAAGGCUACGGAGAAAACACCACCAAUUGGAAAAGCAAAUGGAAAGGAUAUCAAGCAUGAUAAGCAGGUCAACGUGGAAGUGGAAUCGGAUGACAGCUCGGAGGAGCGAGAGUUUCCCAAGACCAAGAGGCUCUCAGAUAUCCUGGGUUCUUGUGCCUCUUCGUCUUGGAGGAACAACGCUAGUACCUCAGCCGCACCUCGAAACUGCUCUGAAGUUUUCAGGCCUGCGACUGCGAGCAAGUUUGAGGAACAAAAGCAGCAGCAUCGGCAUUGCAGGGAGAGAGGGCAGCAGGAAGCAUCCGAAUCCGAUGCUGCUGUCGAGGCCACCAAAAGGCUCAAGGUCAACGGCCGCAUCGCGCUCAAUGGUUGUCCUGCCCUCAACUCCAACCAAGCGCAACCCAAAACUCCACCAACAUAG
rnacentral:rRNA from 1 species